AUCAUCAUCACUUUUAUUAUUAGAAAACAGUUACGAUGUACAAUAAACCUACACGAAAGAGGUGGAAAUAGUACUACCAAACGUUUUCGCUUUAAAUUAAAUAAUCUGCAAAUAUUGACGUCAAAGUAAAGGAGAUUACUAUACAUAAAGUUUGACAUCAUAAAUUAUAAACAAGUUAUGAUAUAAAAUUAUCCAACUCGGUAUCAAAAACAAUUUAAUCAAUGUGUAAAAAAAUUGUUAUGAUAGAAUGACGUUAUGCAAAGUUUAAAUCAGACAAUAUAGCGGUCCUUCAGACAGGGUUGUAAUUUACCGCCACUUUUAUUCGACUUAAAUAACUAUUCCUCAUUAAAUAAAUUUUCUAGCACAAAAGUUUUAAAAGGAAUUAAUUGAUACACAGAUAUUGCUAUGUUAAUAGCCCAAUAAUUUUUAAUAUAACACUUAGAUACCGGUAUGUUUGAUUUUGAUGUGGAAAAAAACAAAGUCAUCUUCUCAUAAGGGGCGUAACAGUGAAGAUCGCUGAACGUUGGAGAUACAAAGGGAUUUGUGAAAUUCUCCGUGAAAAUCCAAAAGGUUGAGUGUAAGCAGGUUCCAUCAAGCAGCUGUCGCCGUUUACACAACCAGCGCUAACUUCACAAGAAUAGGCCGUUUUUCUAAUUCAUUAACCUUCUAGCCACAUCGAAAUUAUUCCACUAAUUAUAUUAUAUGAUGGAUGUGUUCGGUUUGCCCAGUCCCUUGACAUUUUUGGCGCGUACAAAUUACAAUUUUAUUUCCACUCUAUCGUCAUUUAAUCGUUGUUGGAAUUUUUGCAGAUUCACCAAGAUUACUGAAACCUGCAAGUCAGGCCAUAGAAACUCGUUGCAUCACAUGUUGAAGUUUAUUGAGGGUCAUUUGACAUGAAUUGUAUAUCUCGGGUCAGAGAGGUGGUAAAAAAAUUAUAGAUGACAAUGCACAAAUAAGAAAUAAUAUAAGAGUACAGUACUUGGCAAUUCUGUACAACAAACGAAUAAUCUAGAAUACAACAUUUCACAAUUGGCAUACGUACCGUACACGGAGGCCUUGUCUGUUAAUAGGCUAUUAUAACUUACACUUUUUCGGGCAAAGACCGCUGGAGGUAAUUCAAUAGAAACUCCGACCAUCCCACCCUUAGGGUAUUCGGUCUGCAGAGUGCCGAAUUCAGAACGUUAGGCUUACCCACUGGGGAGACUGAAUCCACUGUGGGUAAGGAAUCCCUCGAAACUGAUAGUAGUAUGAGUCACAUGUAGUAGUAGUACUAGUAGUAGUAGACCUAAAAUGUUUCUAAAAUGUAAUAAUGAUGUAUUAGUACUACUGCACUACGGUAUCAGCAGCAGGUCCCACUAUUCUACUCUACUAUGUAUAGUUUAUAAAUAAAAAUAAAAUAUAUA